UUAAGUUCAGCGGGUAUCCCUACCUGAUUCGAGGAGUUCCAGUGUCAUUGCUCUCCCCGCCCCGAACCGUGGGGGCCAGGGGCUGUGGGCCUCGCCGCGCUCGAGCGCAGAUGCGUCAUAUCACGCUCGGCGUCGCGACAGGCGUCCGCCCAUUGAUUCCGGCGGGUGGCUCCCCUCGUCGGGGCCGCCGCCGCCGCCAC
rnacentral:misc_RNA from 1 species